AUUCUUCCUGGCAGGGGAGUCUUAGCCAUAGUAUCUAAGGUUACUUCUUCCAGAAUGAGGCUGGUUCAUUGCACUCUGAGCCCGCUGACAUCUGAGAUUUCCCCACAUGUGGGAAACUCGACUGCACAAUUUAUGGUUGUGGGGGUCUGCAGGCGCGCUUUCCCCUG